CUCCCGGUGUAUCUUUCUCCAGACCUUCCCUUGGUGCACUGGAUACCCUUGCUGUGUAGUAAAGAGUUAAAAAUAGAGGGCAGGGUUUUCUUCUUCUCUUUUGCUAACAGCUGAGCCAAGGAGUGUGGAGGCUGCUCCAGGUCCUAGAACACGGUGCCUGGGUUCAUUUCGCAGAUUUGGUCCUAAGCUUGUCAAGUCCCCUACCAGCUCCUGUGACAGAAAGACUAGACAAGAUGGCGGAGGUCACACGAGUGCUGGGAAAUGAAGAAGGGCUUCAAGCUGCUCCUCCGAUUUUAAAGCCAAGCAAUGUGCCUAGCACUGUGCUGCUGUGAGCCAGACAAUGACCUUCCCCCGGAGCAAUUAAAAGAUGUUUUCAAAGUUGUUUUUUAAA